rnacentral:piRNA from 1 species
CCACUGACCGAUACAGAAGCCUGUGGGUC